rnacentral:rRNA from 1 species
UGGGGAAUAUUGCACAAUGGGGGAAACCCUGAUGCAGCGACGCCGCGUGGAGGAAGAAGGUCUUCGGAUUGUAAACUCCUGUUGUUGGGGAAGAUAAUGACGGUACCCAACAAGGAAGUGACGGCUAACUACGUGCCAGCAGCCGCGGUAAAACGUAGGUCACAAGCGUUGUCCGGAAUUACUGGGUGUAAAGGGAGCGCAGGCGGGAAGUCAAGUUGGAAGUGAAAUCUAUGGGCUCAACCCAUAAACUGCUUUCAAAACUGUUUUUCUUGAGUAGUGCAGAGGUAGGCGGAAUUCCCGGUGUAGCGGUGGAAUGCGUAGAUAUCGGGAGGAACACCAGUGGCGAAGGCGGCCUACUGGGCACCAACUGACGCUGAGGCUCGAAAGUGUGGGUAGCAAACAGG